AUUGAACGCUGGCGGCAUGCUUUACACAUGCAGGUCGAACGGCAGCGGGGUAGUGCUUGCACUACUGCCGGCGAGUGGCGAACGGGUGAGUAAUAUAUCGGAACGUACCGAGUAAUGGGGGAUAACCAAUCGAAAGAUUGGCUAAUACCGCAUACGUCCUGAGGGAGAAAGCGGGGGAUCGCAAGACCUCGCGUUAUUCGAGCGGCCGAUAACUGAUUAGCUAGUUGGUGGGGUAAAGGCCUACCAAGGCGACGAUCAGUAGCGGGUCUGAGAGGACGAUCCGCCACACUGGGACUGAGACACGGCCCAGACUCCUACGGGAGGCAGCAGUGGGGAAUUUUGGACAAUGGGGGCAACCCUGAUCCAGCCAUGCCGCGUGUAUGAAGAAGGCCUUCGGGUUGUAAAGUACUUUUGUUAGGGAAGAAAAGGGAAGUGCUAAUACCACUUUUUGCUGACGGUACCUAAAGAAUAAGCACCGGCUAACUACGUG
rnacentral:rRNA from 1 species